rnacentral:rRNA from 1 species
CCAGUCGAGCGAAUGGAUUAAGAGCUUGCUCUUAUGAAGUUAGCGGCGGACGGGUGAGUAACACGUGGGUAACCUGCCCAUAAGACUGGGAUAACUCCGGGAAACCGGGGCUAAUACCGGAUAACAUUUUGAACNGCAUGGUUCGAAAUUGAAAGGCGGCUUCGGCUGUCACUUAUGGAUGGACCCGCGUCGCAUUAGCUAGUUGGUGAGGUAACGGCUCACCAAGGCAACGAUGCGUAGCCGACCUGAGAGGGUGAUCGGCCACACUGGGACUGAGACACGGCCCAGACUCCUACGGGAGGCAGCAGUAGGGAAUCUUCCGCAAUGGACGAAAGUCUGACGGAGCAACGCCGCGUGAGUGAUGAAGGCUUUCGGGUCGUAAAACUCUGUUGUUAGGGAAGAACAAGUGCUAGUUGAAUAAGCUGGCACCUUGACGGUACCUAACCAGAAAGCCACGGCUAACUACGGCCAGCAGCCGCGGAAAUGGCGAAAC